UCAGCUAAUGAUGCAUUAAAUGGUUCACAACAUGAAAAGCCUCAGGAAAAUCGGAUUUCAACAUAAACUUUAAAUUAUUGUUCCUGUAACAUUGAAUAAACCACAUUCUGGUGAAAGGUAUCUUCAAUAAUUCAAUGUAAUGAUUGAAAAAUUAUGAGAAAAAAAAA